rnacentral:misc_RNA from 1 species
UUUCCGUAGGUGAACCUGCGGAAGGAUCAUUAAUAAAUAAAGAUAGAAUGAAAUUGAAUUCUAUCUUAAUAAUAAUCCUACCCUUUGUGAAUUUGUUUGUUUGAAAUAAUUUUUUAAAGAAAAUUAUUUAUAGUUUGUCUAUCCCUAAGGUGAUGAUUGUUGUAAAAGACAGUUUGAAGUCUUAGGGAAUAGGCUUUAUAAAUAAUUUUAUUUAAAGACCUUUUUUUAAAUUAAACUUUUGUAUUCAUUUGUCUAAAUUUAUUUUUAAUAAUUUAAAAACAACUUUUGACAAUGGAUCUCUUGGUUCUCGCAACGAUGAAGAACGCAGCAAAAUGCGAUAAGUAAUGUGAAUUGCAGAAUACGUGAAUCAUCAAAUUUUCGAACGCGUAUUGCACUUUUUUAGUUUACUAAAAAAGUAUGUCUGUUUGAGUAUCAGUAAAAUAUUCUCAUAAAAACUAUUGUUUUUAUGGUUAUGAGUGUUUUACAACGAUAACAAGUUGUUUCACUUUAAAUUGAUUUUUUAAUAGCCAAUUUUGGUUUUAUUAUAAAAUUGGAUAAAAUUUUCCCGUAAAAAGGAAUAAACUUUUCAGUUUUAGAAUAAUUCCCCAAUUGACAAUCAAAAAGGAAAUUUAUAAUAAACUAACUUGAUCUCAAAUCAGAUAAGAGUACCCGCUGAACUUAAGUAUAUCAAUAAGCGGAGGAAAAGAAACUAACAAGGAUUCCCUUAGUAACGGCGAGUGAAGCGGGAAGAGCUCAAAUUUGAAAUCUUCAAGGUUCUACCUUGACGAAUUGUAGUUUAAAGAAGUGUUUUCUGUUAGUGGAGUGGCAAAAGUUCUUUGGAAUAGGACAUCAUAGAGGGUGAGAAUCCCGUAUUUGGUCAUUCCUUCUAGCUUUGUGAUACACUUUCAAAGAGUCGGAUUGUUUGGGAAUGCAGUCCAAAAUGGGUGGUAAAUUUCAUCUAAAGCUAAAUAUUGGCGAGAGACCGAUAGCGAACAAGUACCGUGAGGGAAAGAUGAAAAGAACUUUGAAAAGAGAGUUAAACAGUACGUGAAAUUGUCAAA